CCCUACGGGACGCAGCAGUGGGGAAUAUUGCGCAAUGGGCGAAAGCCUGACGCAGCAACGCCGCGUGAGUGAUGAAGGCUUUCGGGUCGUAAAGCUCUGUCGUAAGGGAAAAAAAGCUCAUGGCUAACAUCCAUGAGUUUUGAUGGUACCUUACAAGAAAGCACCGGCUAACUACGUGCCAGCAGCCGCGGUAAUACGUAGGGUGCGAGCGUUGUUCGGAAUUACUGGGCGUAAAGCGCUUGUAGGUGGCUCUAUAAGUCAGAUGUGAAAGCCUGGGGCUUAACCUCAGAAGUGCAUCUGAAACUGCAGAGCUUGAGUAUGGGAGAGGGCAUUGGAAUUCCUGGUGUAGUGGUGAAAUACGUAGAUAUCAGGAGGAACAUCGGUGGCGAAGGCGGAUGUCUGGCCCAAUACUGACACUGAGAAGCGAAAGCGUGGGUAGCAAACAGGAUUAGAUACCCGGGUAGUCC
rnacentral:rRNA from 1 species